GUCAAAGCCCAGGUUGCACGUGAAUGAAUAGAGGUGCAGACAUAAGAUUCUUGUUAUUUUCUGACUCUAUUGAUGCCCCUGUCACCUGCCUCUCCCCUUUGGCUGGCUAGGAAUCAGCUGUAUCACUGCUCCUACAUGGACCAAGACCUAGUUGCCAAUGACCUUAAAAGAAGUUGAAGGCUCUGGGAAUUUUUAUUAGAAAGUGAAGUCAUUAAAGAAGCAGACACCAGGCUCAGGCCCUGAGAUAAUUGCAAAUAGAAACGCAUCUGUCUACAGUGCUCAGCUGGACCUGACAUGAGCUGUACCGGCAGACUACAUCCACAUCACCUUCGCCUUUGAAAAGCUCCAUGUCCCCAUGCCUGCCAUCAACUACUCGAACUCUGUCGAAUAAUCUGUCCCUAGAUCAAAU